AUGGAGUCUCAAGGUUACUCGGGACUUUACGCUUUGAGACAGCUUGGACUCCAUUUCCCAAGAGCUACGGGGAUCAGCUGCGGGACUGUGUCGUCUCUGCGCGACGCAUCCUGGGACACGUGGCAACUGCUGUGCGAGGAGUCACAGAUUCUUCGGGAGGAGCUAAAGUUGCUACGGGACCAGCUGAGCCAGCAUCAGGAGCUGCUGCUGAAACAGAUAACUGAGAGGCAGCAAGCUCAGGCCUGCAGCUGGAAGAUCUCCAGAGGCAUACCAUUUCUAACCCGGAGCCCAGCAGCUUUCAGCUCCAGGCCCAGAGCCUUGAGCAAGAGGACCUAUUCUUUAAGGGCCCCAGGAUACUCCUAAGUGACCUGUAAGGACUUGUAGUGUAGUAGGAUGAAGUCUUCUUUGCUCAUCUUCCCCUCCAAGGUCCUGUUUCUGAGUUGCCUGCCGGCUCCCCUCUUGAUCUAGUUGGUGUUUGCCCUCCCUACUGAGGCUUGUCACUGCCUGUCCAUCCCUGUCUACCAAUUGCAAUAAAAUGGUUUAACCCUC